rnacentral:rRNA from 1 species
GAUGAACGCUGGCGGCGUGCCUAAUACAUGCAAGUCGAGCGAACAGACGAGGAGCUUGCUCCUCUGACGUUAGCGGCGGACGGGUGAGUAACACGUGGAUAACCUACCUAUAAGACUGGGAUAACUUCGGGAAACCGGAGCUAAUACCGGAUAAUAUAUUGAACCGCAUGGUUCAAUAGUGAAAGACGGUUUUGCUGUCACUUAUAGAUGGAUCCGCGCCGCAUUAGCUAGUUGGUAAGGUAACGGCUUACCAAGGCAACGAUGCGUAGCCGACCUGAGAGGGUGAUCGGCCACACUGGAACUUGGACACGGUCCAGACUCCUACGGGAGGCACCAGUAGGGAAUCUUCCGCAAUGGGCGAAAGCCUGACGGAGCAACGCCGCGUGAGUGAUGAAGGUCUUCGGAUCGUAAAACUCUGUUAUUAGGGAAGAACAAAUGUGUAAGUAACUAUGCACGUCUUGACGGUACCUAAUCAGAAAGCCACGGCUAACUACGUG